rnacentral:misc_RNA from 1 species
GCAAACUUGGUCAUUUAGAGGAAGUAAAAGUCGUAACAAGGUUUCCGUAGGUGAACCUGCGGAAGGAUCAUUACUGAGUGCGGACCUAACCGGUCCAACCUCCCACCCGUGUCUCUAAAUACCCUGUUGCUUUGGCGGGCCCACCGAUUCGUCGGUCGCCGGGGGACCCUGUGUCCUCGGGCCCGUGCCCGCCAGAGCGCUUGAAGAACCCUUAUGAAGAUAGACUGUCUGAGUGUAUUUGAUAAUAAUCAAAACUUUCAACAAUGGAUCUCUUGGUUCCGGCAUCGAUGAAGAACGCAGC